AGAGUUUGAUCCUAGCUCAGGAUGAACGCUGGCGGCGUGGAUAAGGCAUGCAAGUCAAACGGACUGUCUUCGGACAGUCAGUGGCGAACGGGUUAGUAACACGUAGGAAUCUACCUUGAAGUCUGGAAUAACUCGGAGAAAUCCGAGCUAAUACUAGAUAGUCUCCACCUUUGGUGGAGUAAAGUAUCACUUUUGUGAUUUCGCUUCGAGAAGUGCCUGCGUCCUAUCAGCUUGUUGGUAAGGUAAUGGCUUACCAAGGCUAUGACGGGUAGGGGGAGUGAGAGCUCGAUCCCCAACAACGGUACUGCGACACGGACCGUACACCUACGGGUGGCAGCAGUCGAGAAUCUUCCACAAUGGGCGAAAGCCUGAUGGAGCGACGCCGCGUGCUUGAUGAAUCCCUUCGGGGUGUAAAAGGCUUUUCUGUCUGAGAAAUUUUGGUUUUCCAAAAUGAUGUUAAGACAGGAAUAAGGGGUGGCUAACUUCGUGCCAGAAGCCUCGGUAAUACGAAGGCCCCAAGCGUUAUCCGGAAUAACUGGGCGUAAAGCGUGUGUAGGCGGUUUUAAUAGUGGCUGGUUAAAUUCCGAGGCUCAACCUCGGAGCUGCCCGCCAAACGUUAAGACUAGAGCAGGUGAGAGGCCAAUGGAACUUACCAAGUAGGGGUGAAAUCCGUUGAUAUGGUAGGGAACGCCAAAGGCGAAGGCAAUUGGCUGGUGCCUGGCUGACGCUGAGACACGAAAGCGUGGGGAGUGAACGGGAUUAGAUACCCCGGUAAUCCACGCCGUAAACGAUGUCAACUAGCCGUUCGGAGUAUCGACCCUCUGAGUGGCGAAGCUAACGCGUUAAGUUGACCGCCUGGGAAGUACGGCCGCAAGGCUAAAACUCAAAGGAAUAGACGGGGACUUGCACAAGCGGUGGAUCAUGUGGUUUAAUUCGAUGAUACGCGAGGAACCUUACCAGGGUUUGACAUCCUGAUGACCGUUUAUCGAAAGAUAAAUUUUCUUUUAGACAUCAGGGUCAGGUGGUGCACGGUUGCCGUCAGCUCGAGUCUUGAGAUGUUCCCUUAAGUGGGGUAUCGAGCGCAACCCUUGUCCUAUGUUACAAGUGUCAUAGGAGACUGCCUCUGUAUAGGGGGAGGAAGGCGGGGAUGACGUCAAAUCAGCGUGUCCUUUUGAUAUCCUGGGCCACACACAUGAUACAAUGGCCGAGACAAUGGGUUGCCAAACCGA
rnacentral:rRNA from 1 species